GAGUUUGAUCGUGGCUCAGAUUGAACGCUGGCGGCAGGCCUAACACAUGCAAGUCGAGCGGAUGACGGGAGCUUGCUCCUUGAUUCAGCGGCGGACGGGUGAGUAAUGCCUAGGAAUCUGCCUGGGUAGUGGGGGACAACGUUUCGAAAGGAACGCUAAUACCGCAUACGUCCUACGGGAGAAAGCAGGGGACCUUCGGGCCUUGCGCUAUCAGAUGAGCCUAGGUCGGAUUAGCUAGUUGGUGGGGUAAUGGCUCACCCAAAGGCGACGAUCCGUAACUGGUCUGAGAGGAUGAUCAGUCACACUGGAACUGAGACACGGUCCAGACUCCUACGGGAGGCAGCAGUGGGGAAUAUUGGACAAUGGGCGAAAGCCUGAUCCAGCCAUGCCGCGUGUGUGAAGAAGGUCUUCGGAUUGUAAAGCACUUUAAGUUGGGAGGAAGGGCAGUAAGUUAAUACCUUGCUGUUUUUGACGUUACCGACAGAAUAAGCACCGGCUAACUCUGUGCCAGCCGCCGACCG
rnacentral:rRNA from 1 species